rnacentral:misc_RNA from 1 species
AAGUCGUAACAAGGUUUCCGUAGGUGAACCUGCGGAAGGAUCAUUAACACGUAUCCAAACGUUAAACCCCCCUGUGAACCUUCAGUCGUACUCGUACGUCCGUUAGAAAAAGCAGCAAUCCCUGGUAAAUCAUCGCCGAACAGUUUUCGAUUCAGGGACGUCUGCAAGGAGCGUGCAUGUUGUGCGUGUAAGUGGCCUGGCAUCCCCAAGCAGUUAGUGUCUGAAAGUGUCACUAACGUUAGUGUCUGAAAGUGUCACUAACAUGUGUAAGGAUGACGCAGUCACGAUCGUUGGAGGCCCACACGGCCGACGACCGGGUCACACCCCUGCUCUAUCUAUGGUGAUCCUGCGGGAAGUCCUGCGGUCGAACGCCGAAACCGAACAACUGUUAACAAUGGAUAUCUUGGUUCUC